AUGGUCGCCCUCUCCUCCCUUCUGCCCGAAGCAACCGCCGCAGGUUGUCCAUCCCUGCAUCAGAGGAUGUUUGUGGCCCUAGCCACGGCACAAUGGGUGGUGACCAAGGCACUAGGCCCCGUUGCGGAUGGCGUGCUAGGGGCUUGGGCGGCCACCAGGAACUUUGGUCCCAACAUCGAGGCCCUCAGCACGGAACUGUUGCUAGUAAAGGCCACGCUCGAGCAGGCUGCCCUCAAGGAGCUUAGUGGGCCAGCCAUGGAGAUGCUGCUGCAGAAGCUACAGGAUUUGGCGCACAAUGCUGAAGACUUGCUGGAUGAGUUGGACUACUUCCGCAUCCACUGCAAGCUCCACAAGACGUACGAUGCAGCAGACCAGCAUGGCAAAGGUGGCGUCCAUGACCUCGCACUCAAUGUCCACCACACCGCCAAAGCUGUUGGCAAAUCAGCCAACUGCUGCCCUUGGCAGCGUGCUAAGCGAAAACAGAGGACAUGCGGCGAUUCCUUUUCGGCCCCAAACACCAAUCAGAAGCUCAGCAGAUGCAUGCCCAAGCUCGGUAUACUCCUCCCUUGCUCCUCUUCUCCACAUACACAUGUUGGAGAUGAUGAUCAUGGUAAUGCACAAGAUAUUCCACAACUUGAGUUUAAUAGGGUUCAUUUCUCUCAAAAGAUGAAGGCCAUUGUAGAAAAAUUGCAGCUUAUGCGCAAUGAGGUUAACAAGAUUCUACAAGGUUGUGGCCCUAGAAUUGUCAUAGACAUUGCCCAGAGUCGUCCCAUCACCAGAGCUAAGAGCACAGAGCCAAAACUAUACGGGAGGGACGGCGUCAUGAAUAGCAUCAUACAUGAUAUCACCAAGGGUCAAUAUUGUGACAAGGGUCUAACCGUGCUUCCAGUUGUUGGUCCAGGGGGAAUGGGGAAAACAACUCUGAUACAACAUAUAUAUCACAACCAGCAAGUGCAGAAUCAUUUUUCAGUCAAGAUUUGGAUAUGUGUGUCAUUCAAUUUCAAUCUGGAUAAGAUUAGUAAUGGAGAUGACUGGAAAAAACUAUUGUUGACACUUGGUCAAUCACAAGAAAAGGGUUCUAUGAUUCUGGUCACAACUCGGCUUAAAAACAUAGCAGAACAAGUCAAAACAAUUGACCGUCCAAAAGAACUUUACGGUUUAGAACAUGAAGAGUUUAAGAAGUUAUUCCUUGCAUUUGUCUUUGAUGAUGGGAAAUAUCCUAGGAAUAAACCUUUUUUGCUUGAGAUUGGAGAUCAGAUAAUGGACAAACUAAAGGGUUCCCCUCUUGCAGCAAAAACUGUUGGUAGAUUACUGAGUAAAGAACUUAGUUUGCAACAUUGGAAAGGGGUCCUAAAAUGUAAAGAAUGGGAGAAGCAGACCGAUAACAAUGAGGUUAUGCCUGCCCUGAAGCUUAGCUACGACUUUCUCCCUUUUCAUCUACAACAAUGUUUUUCCUAUUCUGCAUUGUUUCCUGAAGAUUACCAUUUCAGAAGCCAUGAGCUCAUCAGCCUGUGGACUGGACUAGAUAUUUUGAUACCUUGUGGUCAACAUCAAACAUUUGAAGACGUGGGUCUGAGUAAUUUAAAUGAGUUGAUCAUCCAUGGAUUUUUCAGAGAAGAGCAAACUGAUGGUGAUCGGCGGUAUGUUAUGCAUGACCUACUGCAUGAUUUGGCACUGAAAGUUGCUUCUCAUGAUUGCCUUAGUUUACGUCUCCCUAAUAUUGGAUCCGUAGAAAUUCAGCCAUCGACCCGUCACUUGUCUAUAAUCACAGAGGACAUAGGUGAAUCUGAUGCAACGUCUGGUGAAAAAUUAAAGAGUGCAUUGGAGGAAAUGAAGACAAUAUUGGAGGUUGAACAUUUGCAAACAUUGAUGCUAUUUGGAAAAAUGGAUGAAAGUUUUAGCAAGAUAUUUGGUGAUUGUUUUGGGGAAGCUUAUGCUCUCCGUGUUCUUUAUUUGCCCAACAUGAUGCAUCCCGUGGAGUCCGUGUUACAUAACUUUUCAGGACUUUUCCAUCUACGAUACCUAUGUCUAGGGACAAAGGAUGAUCAGAUGCAUUUACCACUUAGCAUCUCUAAAUUUUAUCAUUUAGUGAUUCUAGAUCUUGAGUUGUGGGUUGGCAGUCGUGUUUUGCCCGAAGACAUGAGCAACCUUUCCAAAUUGUGCCAUUUUUAUGUUCCAAGUGAUGAUCAGCUUCAUUCGGGUAUUUAUAAUGUGGGAAAACUUAAACUCUUGGAAGAGUUAAAGAUGUUUCAAGUCAAUAAAAAAAGUGAAGGGUUUGAACCAAAGCAACUAGAGCAUUUGACCAAGCUAAGGGAGCUUGGCAUCUACAACCUUGAGAAAAUACAUACAAAAGAAGAAGCAGCUCAAGCAAAAUUGAUAGAGAGAAAACACUUGAGGAGGUUAAAAUUGGACUGGGAUUGUGAGCGAUCUAGUGUUGAGCCUGGUGUGGAAGCAGAAGUUCUUGAGAACCUUCAACCACAUGGAGAUCUUCAAGUGUUGUGCAUUAGAGGGCACGGAGACCUUUCUUGUCCAACAUGGAUGGGUGAUGAGUUUGCUGUUGAAGCUCUAAGAUCUCUUUAUCUUGAUUGUGUUUCUUGGGAAGUUUUCCCUUCUUUAGGGAAGGCGUGGGAUCUUUGUGAACUGAAAUUGAAGCAUAUUGCUAGACUGAAGGAGAUUAUUAUAGAGGAAACCUUUUGCAUGCUAAUAAAACUUGAACUCAUUGGCCUAGGAAGUUUUGAAAAAUGGGGUUUCCUAGAUGUACAAGAGUCUUCCAUGGAUGCUGAUAUUUUCCCUUGUUUGCAAGUGCUGAUUAUUAUAGAUUGCCCAAAACUCUUGGGAUUGCCUUUCUCAAGCCACAUUGUUUCCCAAGGCGAUUCAGAUUGUCUGGUUGGACCACUAGGAUGCCUGGGUGAUGUGGAAUGGCAGCUUCCUGUUGAGCAUAUGCUGAUCAUGGGCUUAAAUUGUAAUAUUGGCGAGGAAUUGACAGAGCUCCUCCCCCACCUCCCAAAGCUCUCCAAAUUGGACAUAAGAUAUUGUAAAAAUAUAAAACAAUUGGUAGUGGGGGUGGAUCUGCAACAAAUUACAGAGAUGGAAAUAAGAGCAGCAGCAGCAGAUGAAGAUGAUGAUGGGGUGCUGCUCUUCCCAGCUCAUCUCUGUAACUCACUACUGGAAUUGGAGUUCUAUGACUGCCCAGAGCUGGUCCUGGUGGACCCACCAACUCUUGUUCCUGGAGGAGGAUGGCUCCAAGCCUUGCGAUCCCUCCAGAGAUUGACAAUAAAUGGUUCCCCCUGGUUUCUUUUCACCUUCUCGUUUUCCCGUCACAUUUUCCCUUCCUCCCUGCAGUUCCUGAAGCUUAAGAGCAUGGUAGGCAUGGGGACACUGAAACCCAUCUCAAACCUCUCUUGUCUGAUGACAUUAGAAUUGAUUGAUUGCGGAGAGGAUCUGAAAUGUCAAGGUUUGCAGCCUCUCCUUACCACCAGGGGGCAUAUCAACGAAUUACAAGUCUUUGGCAGCCCUGGUUUCUUUGCUGGUUGGGAUCCCAAUCCAAAACAUGAUUUGGAGGAGCUCCUUUCUGCACCCACACUGCAGGAGCUCUCCACAGAUGACAUAGCAGGACUCCUUUCUGCACCCAUCUGCAACUUCCUCUCUUCAUCCCUCACCAAGCUGGAACUUCAUGGGGCAAGAAGACGCCCUUCAGUUCCUCUCCUCCUUCCAGAAAAUCCUUUCGCGUUUCAUAGGUCUGAAAGCAUGGAGCGCUUCAGCAAGGAGCAAGAGGACGCCCUUCAGCUCCUCUCCUCCCUCCAGGAACUUAAGUUUUCGGAUCUCCACAAGCUUCAGCAACUCCCUGCAGGGCUGUGCAACCUUACCAGCCUGGAGAAGUUAACAGUCUGCGAUUGUUCAGUCAUCUCUUCAUUGCCUAACGAUGGCCUCCCCAAAUCACUACAACAGCUAGUUCUCUACUACUGCAGCGAGGAGCUAAAACAGAAGUUCAGGGAGUUAGUUGGGACAAUCCCAGAAAUCACAAUAGGCCGGAUAAUGCCUUUUAGUGCUCUUCCCUUUCCAUACAAACACAUUUGCCACAUGCAUGUCGUUCUACCUUCCUGUACAAAAAUCUGGUGUUCUAGUGUUUGUUUGGCAGGCUUUGCAGCCACUUCUGUUUACAUUUUGUCCAAAACUCAUGAAGACCUGAUGGUGUACCUGGAAUGUUUAGUUUUAGGGAAAACAAUGUGUGUUUUGCUAUUUAUUGAUAAUAAGGGAGAUAGUCAUAGCCAGCAUUCAGCCGGCAGCGAGUUCAGCAGGAGGAUGGCCCAGCCGCUUGUAGAUCGGCAGCGGCAGCACCUCCUCUCUGGCUGUACAGAAUUAGUGAUAGCAUUGUUACAGAUAGAGCUAUGCGCAGAGUAUGGAUUUUACCUGAUGAUGAAAUAUGUCCUGCUGAACAUGGAUGGGAAUGCUCUGAUGGACAUUGCGGUGUAUACCAAUGCCAAGACACAGAAGCUCCGUCAGUGCGCAGAUGUGGAGGAGAAGCUGCGGAGCCAACGGCUUUGA
rnacentral:rRNA from 1 species